UCCUUCUUAGCUCAGUUGGUAGAGCGCGUCACUAGUAAAUAAGGGCUGAUGAUUGUCACCUAGGUUUAUUGACGAGGUUAGUCGUUCAAGUCGGCUAGAAAGAA
rnacentral:tRNA from 1 species